rnacentral:rRNA from 1 species
CAGAGGUCCCAAGCGUUGUUCGGAUUCACUGGGCGUAAAGGGUGCGUAGGCGGUCAGAUAAGUCUGAUGUGAAAUCUUCGAGCUCAACUCGGAAACUGCAUCGGAAACUAUCUGGCUAGAGGAUUGGAGGGGAGACUGGAAUUCUCGGUGUAGCAGUGAAAUGCGUAGAUAUCGAGAGGAACACCAGUGGCGAAGGCGAGUCUCUGGACAAUUCCUGACGCUGAGGCACGAAAGCUAGGGGAGCAAACAGGAUUAGAUACCCUGGUAGUCCUAGCCCUAAACGGUGCACGUUUGCUGUAAGAGGAAUCGACCCCUUUUGUGGCGAAGCUAACGCGUUAAACGUGCCGCCUGGGAAGUACGGCCGCAAGGUUA